rnacentral:rRNA from 1 species
GGAUUAGAUACCCUGGUAGUCCACGCCGUAAACGGUGUCAACUAGGUGUUGUGGGUAUUGACCCCCGCAGUGCCGCAGCUAACGCAUUAAGUUGACCGCCUGGGGAGUACGGGCGCAAGCUUAAAACUCAAAGGAAUUGACGGGGACCCGCACAAGCGGUGGAGGAUGUGGUUUAAUUCGAAACAACGCGAAGAACCUUACCAGGCCUUGACAUAUUAGGAUUAACCGAAUGAAAGUUUGGGGAUUGCUCUCACGAGUGUAACUAAUACAGGUGCUGCAUGGCUGUCGUCAGCUCGUGCUG